CUCAGCAUGGAUGUUUGCCUGCCGCUGGUCAGGGUGUACUGAGUCUCGCCCAUUAACAGCUGGGAUAAAUUCUAGCCUUCCCACAACUCUGAACAGGACAAGCAGUCAGCAGACAAGAAAACUAAAGUCUGGAUUUCAAUAAAGAGAGAUCAUUUGGAAGAACUGAACAUGAUAUAUUGAGAUAGAAAUGAAUUAUUGUAUGACCAGUAAUGGCAGAGUGGAAUCAGGGACAGGACCCCCAAGAGUCUGCACGCUGGUGGUGGUGAAGAUGAAAAUUUGACGCUUGGAUGGAGCUCUGAGUGACUUGGCUCAAGUUUUAGUAGAAGAUAAAUCGAUGCAAAAUCCGUGCAGCCUAGUCUGGCUCUGUGUAUCCCUGCAACGGCACAGACACGACGACCCGCAUGAGAAUCACCAAUGGGCCCCAUUCAUCAAUCAGAACCAGCUGAAAACAAAAAAAAUCAAUUCAGCAUCAGUAUUUUAGAGUGUGUAAUGAUUCUAAAAAUAAAUGUUCUGACCUUUAUUUAAUCAAUGCAGGGAGAUAAAACUCACUUUUCUUGUCAUUGUCACCUUGGCGCUGCACAGUCCUCAGAGCCCACACUACAGCAUCGGGAACCAUUUGAGGAAACUAUGAGGAAUCUCAAUGAGGAGCUGAAUUCUUGAUGUGAAAAUGUUCCUUUUACACGUACGCUCCCACUAACAAUGAAUCGAUCGAUGACAGGCGCCGCUUCAGCCCAAGCUCUGUAUCGUUUUGAAUUUCAUGGACCAGCUAAGUGUGUCUGUCUGUGGAGCUUGUUAGUUUGUUUUGAAGUGAGGUCUGACCGGAGAUGUAUUAUCUCUCAGGCUGGAGUUGUAUUAUCCUUCACUGACCCAAGACCGAGAUAAUAAGACUGAGGAGCAAAGGGCUGAUAGCUGAGCGAGAGAAGAAGGGCGACACCAUGGGAAACAAACACAAUGUUAUUUAGUCCCUUGUUCUUUCUUUUUAUUAUAUUUGUUCAUGCGGUGGCGUGUGUACGUUUUGCUUUUGUGUUUUUAUUUUCUUCCCAUCUCUUAUAUUAUUUUAUGUGAGGCGAUGAUGCCUUCUUCACAUUGUGCUGCAGGGAAAAAUGUGUUAUGAUAGGCAUGACCAAAGAAUUUGUCAACAUGUUUUUUUUCCCAUAUUCCUACAGGAAUAACAGAUCUAUUGGCUGAUGUGUAGAUGUGUGAUGUGUGCUUUCAUCAGCUGUGCAACUUUCCCAUUAGCAAGGACGCCCUAUGUUCAUGUGCAUAAAACUAUGCUCUGAGAACUAUGAAACCUGGGUGUAAUUGAUGCUGUAGGUUAUACUCCUGUGAUUCAGAACAAAAUGCUGUGGAUGAAGAGGGAUGCUACACACACAUAAUGCAGUUUGUAAAGAUAUUACAGAAUUUGCAUUACCAAAGUUUUAAUGCAAUUUCUGAAAUGGCUGUCCAUUUUUAUUCCCAGGGCAUCAAAUGAAGGGCAUUAUAUAUUUGAUAUGACAUUUAGUUUACUUUGCAAACCCAUACAUCACUGUCAUUACAACUCAGUAUGUAUUUGGACUAUUUGUCAUCUGCAUUUACAUGAAUUAAUGAGGUGGCCCAGCACUGCUUCACAGCGAUGUCACAUGCAAUAUGAUGUGGCCACCCUUGCAUUGCUGUAUUUAAAGGUAGUUGCAAUUUAAGCCUCCAUGUGUGAGACAGCCUUCCUCCUCCAUCCGAAACUUUUCUUGUCAGCGUGGGAUGGAACAAAAUGACGUGAGACAAGAAACUGCAAAACAAAAGGCAACCAUAUUCCCCACACCCCCAUAUAAUUGUGCAGUUCAAUCUGCCAAACCCUCUGUACUCUUUGAAGAUGCGUGGAAUCAAAACCGUGACACUCUGUCAUUGAAACGUCUUCCCAUUUUUGCUGUGUAAUCUGAAGGAGCUGUUGGCCCAGAGAGCAAGCAGCACGGGGGGGGGGUGUAUUAGUGAAUUAUGG